AACGAACGCUGGCGGCGUGGAUAAGACAUGCAAGUCGAACGGGACAGGUAGCAAUAUCUGUCUAGUGGCGAACGGGUGCGUAACACGUGGGCAACAUGCCUGGAAGAGCGGGAUAGCCCGGGGAAACUCGGAUUAAUACCGCAUGUGACAACGGGGCGGCUUCGCCCUGUUUUCAAAGGUGGGGACCGCAAGGCCUGCCGCUUCCAGAUUGGCCCGCGUCCUAUCAGCUAGUUGGCGGGGUAACGGCCCACCAAGGCGACGACGGGUAGCUGGUCUGGGAGGACGACCAGCCACACUGGAACUGAGACACGGUCCAGACACCUACGGGUGGCAGCAGUCGAGAAUCUUUCACAAUGGGGGAAACCCUGAUGGAGCGACGCCGCGUGGAGGAUGACGGUCUUCGGAUUGUAAACUCCUGUCAUGAAAGAACAAGCGAUGCGGGUGAACAGCCCGCAAAGUUGAUAGUAUUUCAAGAGGAAGGGACGGCUAACUUCGUGCCAGCAGCCGCGGUAAGAC
rnacentral:rRNA from 1 species